rnacentral:rRNA from 1 species
GGGAACCGAAAGGGGACCGACCUUCGGGAGCCGAUACAGGUGCUGCAUGGCUGUCGUCAGCUCGUGUCGUGAGAUGUUCGGUUAAGUCCGGUAACGAGCGCAACCCUCAGGUCCAGUUACAGGUGUCUGGAGCGACUGCCCGUAGAAAGCGGGAGGAAGGUGGGGAUGACGUCAAGUCAGCAUGGCCUUGAUGCCUAGGGCUACACACACGCUACAAUGGCCAGCACAAUGGGUUGCCAACCCGCGAGGGGGAGCCAAUCUUACAAAGCUGGUCUCAGUUCGGAUUGCAGGCUGCAACCCGCCUGCAUGAAGUCGGAGUUGCUAGUAAACGCGCAUCAGCUAUGGCGCGUUGAAUACGUUCCCGGGCCUUGUACACACCGCCCGUCACGUCAUGGGAGCUGGUCAUGCCUGAAGUCGGUGGGCUAACCUCACGGAGGCCGCCGCCGAAGGCAGGGCUGGUGACUGGGACGAAGUCGUAACAAGGUAGCUGUACCGGAAGG